rnacentral:rRNA from 1 species
UACGGGGGGGCAAGCGUUGUUCGGAAUUACUGGGCGUAAAGGGCUCGUAGGCGGCCAACUAAGUCAUACGUGAAAUCCCUCGGCUUAACCGGGGAACUGCGUCUGAUACUGGAUGGCUUGAGUUCGGGAGAGGGAUGCGGAAUUCCAGGUGUAGCGGUGAAAUGCGUAGAUAUCUGGAGGAACACCGGUGGCGAAGGCGGCAUCCUGGACCGAUACUGACGCUGAGGAGCGAAAGCCAGGGGAGCAAAGCGGG